UACGGGGGGGAGCAAGCGUUGUUCGGAUUUACUGGGCGUAAAGGGCGCGUAGGCGGCGCAACAAGUCACUUGUGAAAUCUCCGGGCUUAACCCGGAGCGGUCAAGUGAUACUGUCGUGCUAGAGUGCGGAAGGGGCUACUGGAAUUCUCGGGUGUAGCGGUGAAAUGCGUAGAUAUCGAGAGGAACACCUGGCGGCGAAGGCGGGUAGCUGGGCCGACACAUGACGCUGGAGGCGACGGAAAGCUAGGGGAGCAAACGGG
rnacentral:rRNA from 1 species